GGAGGAGGAGGAGGAGAAAGUGGCUCUCAGCGGCCGGUCGGAUUAAAAGUAACCAGACUCGUCCAGAAAACUGCGUCCAGGAAGGAAGUGACAGAAGACGAAUGGGAAAAGGAGAACAGCUCACAGCGUUUGAAACAUCGCGAAGUUGUACCCGUCAGCACCUGCUGAGGGCUUUGUUGUCCAAACCCUGACAGGUAAAAAAAUUCCUGCAGAAUAAAGCCAGACCAGCUGGCUUUGAAGAGAAACCCCCCAGUUUGGGCUGCGUUUGCCUCCUCUCCUUUUCUAUGAAGACCGAGGCUUUGCCCCCUUGAUCGUCAAGCCGUGAGAUGCGUGAUCUCUCUGCACAAGUGUCUGGCAGGCCGAGGUGCACCUGUUUCUGUCACUCUGGAGUAAAUUUAGCUGUAAAGGGCACCACUUUCAGAUAAAAACAUAGACCUGAAUGGCAUCAUCCAGUAUCCAAGGAAACCAUGUUCUCUAAACAUGAAUAUGCCUUUGGGGGAAGACAGAAGAACAUGGAAGCCAUGUGAAAAAAACGGAUCCUAAGGCAGUUUUGAACAUCUGGAGGCCUGAUUUAUUGGAGAUUGCAAAUGUACAGUGUAACAUAGCUGUGGAGAGCGAGAAGAUCAGGAUUGUCAAUGCUGUCAUUGCUUUUACUGGAAUCCCCAGCACGAAUUGAAGGUCUCACUUUGCCACCUAGGCUGGAUGCAAUGCAACGGUAUGUUGAUCUUGGUUCACUGCAGCCUCAACCUCCUGAGCUCAUGUGAUCCUCCCACCUCAGUCCCCCACGUCGCUUGGAUUACAGGCCUGUGCCACCACACCUGGCUAACUUUUUUUGUAAUUUUUGUAGAGACAGGGUCUCACUAUGUUUCCCAUGCUGGUCUUUAAUGCCUGAGCUCAAGCCAUCCGCCUGCCUCGGCCUCCCAAAUUGCUGGGAUUACAGGCAUGAGCCACCAUGCCCAGCCUAAUUCUUCUAAAUCUUAUCCUAGUAAUUAAGCCAGAAUUUUUCUCUGCCAAGACCAAUAGAUGGACCAAGAAGUACUCAUCCUUGUAAACUUUCUUUGGAUAAAUUGCUUACAUAUAAUAAAUUCAGAGUUAAGUAAUAAAAAUAAUGAACUACUGUCUUG
rnacentral:lncRNA from 1 species